AACGAACGCUGGCGGCACGCCUAACACAUGCAAGUCGAACGAAGUAGCAAUACUUAGUGGCAGACGGGUGAGUAACAUGUGGGUAUCUGCCCUUUGGCCUGGAAUAACACGAGGAAACUUGUGCUAAUACCGGAUAAGUCUUUACGGAGAAAGCUUUAUGCACCAUUGGAUGAGCCCGCAUUUGAUUAGUUUGUUGGUGGGGUAAUGGCCUACCAAGGCGACGAUCAAUAGCUGGUCUGAGAGGAUGAUCAGCCACACCGGGACUGAGACACGGCCCGGACUCCUACGGGAGGCAGCAGUGGGGAAUCUUGCACAAUGGAGGAAACUCUGAUGCAGCGAUGCCGCGUGAGUGAAGAAGGCCUUUGGGUUGUAAAGCUCUUUCGUCGGGGAAGAAAAUGACUGUACCCGAAUAAGAAGGUCCGGCUAACUUCG
rnacentral:rRNA from 1 species